AGGGCACCACCAGGAGUGGGGCCUGCGGCUUAAUUUGACUCAACACGGGGAAACUCACCCGGCCCGGACACUGGAAGGAUUGACAGAUUGAGAGCUCUUUCUUGAUUCAGUGGGUGGUGAUGCAUGGCCGUUCUUAGUUGGUGGAGCGAUUUGUCUGGUUAAUUCCGAUAACGAACGAGACUCUAGCCUACUAAAUAGAUCGCCGGUGUACAAACAUCGGUGAGACUUCUUAGAGGGACAGGCGGCGAUUCAGCCGCACGAAACAGAGCAAUAACAGGUCUGUGAUGCCCUUAGAUGUUCGGGGCCGCACGCGCGCUACACUGAAGUGAUCAGCGUGCUUUUUAAGCCUACUCUGCCAAGAGUGGGAAACCCAAUGAACCUUCUUCGUGAUUGGGAUAGGAGAUUGUAAUUAUUCUCCUUGAACGAGGAAUUCCCAGUAAGCGCGAGUCAUUAGCUCGCGUUGAUUACGUCCCUGCCCUUUGUACACACCGCCCGUCGCUACUACCGAUUGAAUGUUUU
rnacentral:rRNA from 1 species